CACAUUUACAAAAGAAGGAAGGGGCAAUAGAAUAUAAGUAGUCUCUUUGUUCCCAUGGCACUUGCCAAGAGUAGUACAACACGGCCGACAAUGGUGUACUCGCUGGUUGUACCUUUCCUGGUUCUUGCUAUAAUGUGUUCUACCUUGCCAUCGUGCCAUGCAAGCAAUGAGGUGAAGUGCAAGCCUCUAGAUCCAUGUGAUGAUGCUGGAUGCAAAACUAUAUGUGCGGGUACAGGCAUGCCUUUUGCCAGUCCCUUUUGUAAGGAGACCCAUCCUCCACUAUGUUGCUGCAUAGGAUAGAAACAUAAGUUAAUGGUACCUUUGCUCCAACUAUGCAAUGCUAAAUAAUUCUAUGCAUGUAACACAUAGAAGCCAAUCUGAAUAAAGAUGCGUGUUUUCUUUCAA